CGGAAAACGAAAGCAACCAACCAAUUCUUCCUGAAUCCUGGAUGUGCUAUGCUGCUAUUUCUGAGUUUUUUGGAGUUACAUGGACGGACGGACAUGCUGAAGACGUCUCCAAUGCAUGGACAAGUGUAAGCUCUUCAUCUGGCCACCAAGCAGCAGCCCUCAUUCAGCAUUCGUCCAUGAAAGCGCACAAUGAAUGGGGCCUUAGAUUCACAGAAAAUAGAAAUUGCAAGCCAGGCGAUCACGAGGCCAGAAAAUGACAUGAGGCCAGGCAGAUGUUCUUCCAAGUUGUGGACAAUGUCAAGUUGGCCUGAGAGCAGGACUGGAAAAUUCAGCCAGGCUUCUGGCUGUUUGUUUUGUAUUUUAAAAUGUACGAAUAAAAAGACGCAGUGUACAAUUUA